GGGGCUUUGAAUACAGCGUGACCGGCGCAGCACGACCCUCGCGUCCCUUUACGGGCGUAGCGCUUGCGCAUGCGUCAUGCCUUCAGGCGGUCCCAGCGUGCCCCGCGGCAGCUUCCGGCCGAGCGCGGUGGAAAGUUGGCUUGGCUGGUGAGUGGCUCCUGCGGACGCGGCUUUGCCUGGCGGGCCCGGUCUCAAGCGCUCCGCUGCGCACUCUAGCCUGCACCUGUCGUCUGCGAACUAGGAUCCGAUUGCAGAGAUGCGGUGUGGCCGGGGACCGGCACCCCCACCCGCUGUGUGGGGAGGCGUGGGCACGAGGCAGCCCGGCGCCCUGGCCCGUUUGCCUCCGGGUGAAGCACCUUUGAGAGACCCUGAGCCCUUGCGGUUUACGCGAGGAAAACACGGCCGCUGAGGCCCUAUGGCGCCCUAGUGCCCCCCUGUGCGGGGCGGUGGGCUCGCGAAGACCGCCCAGACACGCUCUUUGCCCGCAGCUCCCAAACUCGUGGCGUAGAUAAAGCCGCCAGAAACAAAUUCUGGCGUUUCGAGGUGAGAAACGGCGUUCGAGGAGAGUUGACAGGGACGAGGAGUUGAGAACGUCAGGAAGCAAGAACGUGGUGUUGGUACCGCCUUGGUCCUGUGGGUUACUUGCUUGCUUUGUUGGCUCCUCGUUAGGACCCAAAUCUCUUUUCGUGUCUACGUUCCUUCUUUCUAAGCUCGGUGCCCCUCCUGCCUUGGCUGGGAGGGACGGAGACCGGCCGCGCAAACUGUUGGGAGUCAAGGGCAAGAGUGAAUUCGGGUAUUCCAGGCAGGCAACGCUUAGCCGGCAAAGGCACUGAGCCCGAGGCACAGAACCUGUUCCGGGACUGAACGCUUGAGCCGGGCCGAAGGCCGUGCGGGAGGCUCCGUUGUAUGACGCCCUGAUGUCUAACCAUCGGGGGCUCCAAUGGACGAUGCCUCGCCGGGAAGGCGGACUCUGAGUACCCUGUAGCCCAGGAACAGGCAUCCUGCGUUGUUGCCAGACUGACUGGAAAGGCAGUCCCCUCACAGGGGAGGCAUAGCAGAGGGGCCCAGAGGAAAGGAAAGUGGGUAAGCGGCUUGAGGGAUUCUGCUCCUGUUUUGACUGUGACCAUCCAUGUCCCAUAGUAAAGGAAUGAAUUGGU